UGAUUCACAUUGACAUUUUGGGC
rnacentral:snRNA from 1 species